UAGCUCAGUUGGUAGAGCAUGGUGUUUGCAACGCCAGGGUUGUCGGUUCAAUUCCCAC
rnacentral:tRNA from 1 species